CCCGGGCGGCGGCCUCCAGCCGGGCAGUGCUCACCCGCCCGCUCCGCAGCAGGAGCAGCGGCCUCCUUCCCGGGGUUUCUGGGCCAAGGGUCCCCCGCUGGCCGCGAGGGUCGGCCCCUGCCCUUGCCCCGCCCCCACCCCCGCCCGCGGGGACACGGCAGGGCUGUCCCCGCCGCGCACAGGGCCCAGGUCGCCCACCACCCCGCGCAGCGUGAUUCUGAGCCCCGCUUUGGGGAGGAACAGGAAAGGAUGCCACCGUGAGGAGGGGUUGGCGUCCCCUGCUCAAGGUCACACAAGGCAGGCUUGACCUUGACCCCUUGUCAACAGGGAAGUCAGGAAAGGGAGCCCGCAGCAGCCGCACCUGCAGGGGACCGGGACUGGGCGCUGGCCCCCGCGACCACCCGGCCCUGCACCUGCCGCCGCCAGUGCGGUGCGCGGGUCCCCAGCCCGACCCCCACACCAAAGGGAAACUGAAGCCUGCGCCCCAGGGGGAGCCCACGUGGCAGGCGGCGGGAGGCAGGGAGGGAGGGAGGAGUCCCUCUCUAAAUUGCGGUGAUUUUUAAAAAAAGACAGAACCCGGGACUGGCCACACCAGAAGGCUGCCACGUUCUCCCCGUCCGCACCGCCCAUGCCUGAAGCCCAGGGGCCACUUGUGACCCUGCGCAGCUGCUGGAGAGGGCUGACCUCCUUCAUCUGGAGUCCCUCUCCAGGCUCCACUGAUCGCAGGCAGAGAUGCGUUCUGCCAUGUCGCCCAGGCUGCUCUGGAACUCCCGGGCUCAAGUGAUCCUCCUGCCUCCGUCUCCCAAGUGCUGGAACAGGCAUGUGCCACCCAGCCCAGCCAUUGUAGUCCAUUCCCAGUGCACAGCUCAGUGGUAUUAAGUGCAUUCCUGAUGUUAUGCACCCGUCCCCACUGUCCGUCUCCAGAACUUUCCAUCACCCCACACUGCCCCUUUCAACACUAGCCCCACCUCCUAUUUCCUGCCUCUGUGGCUCUGAGGGCUCCGGGAGCUUCAUGCAGGAGGAUCCUGCAGCGUGUGGUGUGUACUCUGACUCAUUUCACUAGGUCCAUCCACACUCCUGUAGGUGUCAGGAUCCCUUCCUUUUUAAGGCUGCAUGAUAUUCCAGUGUGUGGACAGACCGCAUCGGGUGUGUCCGCUCGUCUGUGCACAGACGUUUGACUUGUUUCCACCUGUUUAUUUAUGUAUUUACUUGUUUAUUUUUGGUACUGAUUGAAGCCAGAGGUGCUUAAGCACUGAGCCAAAUCCACAGCUCUCUAUUAUUAUCUGAGGCAGGGUUCUCACUAAGUUGCUGCAGCUGGCUUUGAACUUUCGCUCUGCAGCCUCCCAAGGCUCUGGGAUUACAGGCGCACGCCACCGAGCUCCACUGUGCCCACGUCAGCUGCUGUUGGCACUUUGGAACGAGACUCCAUCAGACUCCACCCGAAGUCUUCCAGAAGGUUCUCCUGAUGUUGUGCUGAUCUGCCUCUCUGGGAGUUUGGUGCAGGGCAUGCUCUUUUCUCUCUCCAGUGCUGGGACAGAAACCCAGCCUCAAGCUCCCUAAACAGGUGCUCUGCCACUGAGCUGCACCCCAGCCCAACCUUCCUCAACUGGACAGACCUGGCAUCUCACAUGCAUUCAUUUCCAAGAUGGUUUCUGCAGCUGAACAGCCUCCCUCCUUCCACCAGCUCACACAAGAAGCAGACUCUCGUGGCUGUGGGACAGCGUCCACUCCACGCCCUUGUUUAUCAGGUGGUUAAAUAUUUUGAAUAUCAAUCUUGGAUAUUUAUUCACCCAAACUCCUAUUACAUCGCCUCUGUUCUGCUUUAAUAAACAAUGCUACCUUUUGAACAUC